rfam:Cavia porcellus supercont2_9 genomic scaffold, whole genome shotgun sequence.
GGGGAUUUAGCUCAGCGGCAUAAGUACCUGCCUUGCAAGCAGGUGGUCGUGAGUUCGAUCCCCG